GAGAAGGAGGCAGAGAAGGAAGAAGAGGAAGAGGAAGAGGUGGAGGAGAGUGAGGAAGAAGAAACAGACAGAAAGUGAAAAAACUUCAAAUAGAUGAAAUCAAGAUGGAUUCUCCAGACAAGUGCUGUCGAUUAAACAAUAA